AGAGUUAGAUCUACUACAUCAUGGUAAUUCCGUUGGAUAAUGCCGUGUGCUACUUCAUCUUUUUUUUAUCUUACAAGCUCAGUGAUGAGCCUCGCCUCAGAGCUGAGGUGGCUUUUUCAGUCCCGUAGCUCAGCUGGUUAGAGCGCUACACUGAUAAUGUAGAGGUCGGCAGUUCGAGUCUGCCCGGGACUACUUCCCGAGUAAAGGGUCAACAGUUCUAAGUUUCGAGUUGAAGAACAACUCCAAGCUUUAAACUCUUAACCAACCUGGGGGAUUAGCUCAGCUGGCUAGAGCGCCUGCCUUGCACGCAGGAGGUCAUCGGUUCGACUCCGAUAUCCUCCACUGUUCUUUAAAAUAACACCCGUUGGGGGUCAUGUGCGGUUCGAUUCCGCGGUUAUUGCACAUUGAUUUGGCAAUUAACAUUCGUGUUAAUUACCUGAAUUAAUUAAUGUUCUUUGACAUAUUGAAAGAAAUAACCUCGAGUUUUUUUAUAUUAACAAUGAGCUACAAUAAUUCGUUACUUUAAGUCUU
rnacentral:tRNA from 1 species